GAAGCUUCGUACACGCUCUCCCUCUUCAUUGGUUAUCUCGAAUUACUGAGUGAUUUCGAACAUCAACGAAGCCCCUGCAACUGAUCUCGCACACUUACUGGAUUGAUGACCCGAAGAGAAAUGGAUGCACAACAACGGAUGUGUAGCUGUGGAGAGGUGAUGGUCAUCCAAACUUCUCAAACGGCGCGGAAUCCUGGAUGAAGAUUUUACAGAUGUCCGGUAGGCGGAAAACAUCCUGGAUGUUUUAUUUGGUUGGACCCAGUAUCGAGGAAUUAUACUGAGACUGUAGACACAGGAACAUGUUAUUCAACAGAAAGUGUUAAUAGGAACACACGGGUCAUCUCAGCUAUUCGUCAACCCUCCUAUAGUCCACAAGUGCGGAAACAAAUACUAGUGGACCAGUCGUUGCUCAACCAUUAUUAUGGUUUAACCAUCUUCCUAUGUAUUUGGGUGUUAAUUCUCUCGUGCUAUGUCUUUUAUGUAACGGCCUUGUAAAUAGUACUAAAGUCUAUUUCAUAUUAUGUAUGGAGUAAAUACAAGAUCAAGACUUUAUGUAA